GACCUGACUCGAACUCUCCCAGAAGCGCAGUUGUGCGGUGCUGGCCUUUGCGGGACCGUGACCGGCUGGACCAGGGCUUCACCACUGGACAUGCACAGCCCACACCCCCGUGGGUCCGCGUGGCCGUCGUGGGCGCAGUGUGUGCGUCCUGUGUGUCUGUUGGCCCAUGCUGUUGCUCCUCCUGCACGGCUCUCCCACCCCAACUCUAAGGGACCACGGGAACAUCUGAAUCUGCCCAGCUCCCACCGUGGCUUCCAGCUGGAAGAAAGAAAGCAGGCCACAUAUGGAGAGUGAAGGUUGGGACAGAACAAUCGCUGUGACUGCGGUGCCUGGCCUGGGCCCCGGCCUGGAGGAGCCACUGCUGCCAUCAGCACAGCCUGCACUUUAUUAGAAUUUAUACGCUGCCCCGAUUGAGGGGGAAAAUAAUUAACACCCCUACAAACAUAUCGUAAACAAAAUAUUUAUUAGAAAUAAAUAACUCAUUUAUUCUA